GGGAAAAGAGGCAGUUUCUUAUUCUAGAAUUUCAAACACAGGAGGGCAGGAGGGGGACACAGUGGAAGCUCCACAACCUGUAGCAGGGAUAAAACCCGGAGGGACCUGAGCAGUUAACAGAUUAGCCCAAGAAACUCCACCCAGAGUAUCCCUUUGAGGUUCAAAACGUUGAAAUAGGACAUCAAAGUCAGAGACAAAACACGACAAAGCUCCGGGGUCUUGGGCCAUACUGGCCAUCAGGGACCCCAAUAGAUCCUCGGUGUGCCCUGUGGAUGUGGAAGCUCGCAAACUUUGUCUGGGUGUCUGUACCUUUAGUUGAGUGCUUAUUUGCAGCAGAAGCAACUUUGGCUGGCAUUUUCUUCUUAGGAGGCAUGCCGCUGGACCCUAAGAAACAACAAGCAAACAAUUAAUUUCUUUUAUGCCGAAUUGACGCAGCAGUGGACACUAAAUAUUGUGAACCACCAAAUAGAGCCAAUAAGUAACAAAUAAUUAAAUCCAGCCAACAAGACUGAUCAGGUAGAAAUUAAAUGACCCUGCUACCAAUAAUAAAGGCGUCAGUUUUUCGCCCCAUAAGACGUACCUGACCAUAAGACGCAGCUAGUUUUUAGAGGAGGAAAACAAGAAAAAAAAUUAUUCUGAACGAAACAGUGGAUGUAUGAUUUUUGUGGUUCAUGCUGUGGCCACAAACAUGAUUUGAUGGUGAGUUUGGAGAAUCCAUGUGGAUCCGUGCUUUGUAAUCACGUUUUUGCGUCAUUUCAGCCCCACGAAACAGUGGAUGCAUGAUUUUUUUUGGUGCAGGCUGUAGUCAUGGACAUGCUCUGUGAUCUGAUGGUGAAUUUGGGGUGCAAAAAUUUAGCCCCCACAAAAUUUACCUCCGCACCCUAAAACCUUGUAUUGAAGGCGCAAAGUAAGCAAAGCCCAAAAAUGGAGCCACAGAAUCACUGGGAGAAGUGACGGCCCCGACCAAGUCACAAACGCCACACCACGGACCUGUGAAUUAACUGGAGAGGCAUCAGGCCCGACAGAAGCCGUAUUUGGAAAGAACGAGCAACUCAAGGCAGCUCAAGACGAUGCAAAAUGGAAAGGUCAUGGCAAACCGUAAAAGGCUCCACGGAAACAAUCCAGACAGAGCUCUGUGGUCAGCAGCGCAAAGCAGGUGCUUGGCACACGUCGUGCUGCCACUUUUAUACUUCCCCCCCAUGAUCACCUAUUCAAAUUGAUUGGGCAAUAGUGCUGGGUAAUCGUGGUGCCACCCUGGUGUGAGGGUAAUGGCUCCAUCCACGCCAGGGUUGGGGGACUGGGUUGAGGGCCUGCCUGCAACCAGGACCAUCUAUUAAGAUGAUCCCACUUGCUAUCUGGAAUGCUCGCAAUGGGGGGGGGGACCUUAGCUGCACACCCACCUCCCCUCAUUUGGUGGGGGGGUCUCUCCCUCCCCCACCUGCCCAGCAGCUUCCCUCCCUACUAUCUCCCCCUCCAUUAGACCUUAGACUUAAGACUUUUUCUGCCACCAGGUGUGGCUUCUGAGAGAGAGAAGCCGAGUGAACAAGACAGGCAUCAUACUGCCUCUUUCCCUCUCUCAUAGCUCUUCCUAUGCUUGUUUCUCUUAGCUGUUUCCUAAGGAGGGAUCUACUGCUAGUGAUUUCAAUGACUGGCUAAGCAGGAGCGAAAAGCCUCCUAGUCAUUGGAAGUGUACUUAUAUUAUUGUGGAAUCAGAAGUGUGGGCUCAUGGUCGGCCCUUCAGUGAUGUGGUGUCAUUUAUAUAUAACAUUUAUAUUGACUAGGGAUGGGUGAAUAAGUUAAUUUCUGUUGCUCCGAAUUUCUCAUUUUUCCAAACUUAAGUUCUCCCCAUUUCUACAUCAGUUUGCAGAUUGUUUAAUAUCUAAUAUUGUUUGAAUGCAAUUCUGUAUAACAGACACAUUUUUUGCAACGCAAAUCCCCAUAAUAUAAUGUAAUCCCUCCCACAUGAAUAUAUGCACUUUUUGCAUGCUUUACCCAAGUAUAUGCAUUUUGGUACAUGCUAUUUGGCUGAAGAACUGUAUUGCAAAAUUCAAAGAUGUUCAAACUUUGAAGGAUAGCUGUUGCUUUAAAUAUUAUUUCAGAAUGUGUGAAUUAUACAGAUUCCUUUUUAAAUGGAAACUGAAUAGAAUUCAUCCCCCAUUGCCAAUAACCAGUGUGGAAUUCAUUGCAGAUUCUUUGGUGGUUCAGCUUGGCAAGAUCAGAACGCAGCCCUACAUCUCUGGGGGGCUGGUGGUUUCAUUGGGUCCAGCAUAAAGUGUGAGCUGCUACACCUGCUAUGAAGCACCCAAAAUACACGUCUUUGCCACUGAAGCUGUUAUAACCGACAAAUGGUAUGAAAUAGACCAAUUUAAAAAUGAAUGGAUUAUAUGAAUGGAUAGUGCAUGGAAUUACUAAGCAAAAAAGGAGGCUGAAGAGGAGCCAAAGUCCUCUUUUUAUGGGUGAUGCAAAACGAACAAGACUAAAUGAAAAAUCACCCACAAGGAGUUAAAAGCUCUCAAAAUAUUAGUUGCCUAGAAGAGAUGUUAAAAUAAAUUAUUCCUCUUUUAUGCGAAAAAAAUCUGAGGAUUUCUGAUUUGCACCCAGACCUUUUCAUUAUUCUCCAACUGUGCAGAGCAGCAAUAGCUUGAAUAAAUUUUGACUGAGCAAUAUUAUUAUUUAAAGUCUUUUUGCUUAAUGUAAUCAUUUACACAACUAUCACGACUUUAGCCCUUAUAUCCAAAGAACAUUUCCUUUUCACCCCCUGCACUCAUUUUCCUUUGCAUAGCAAGAGUUGUGCUUCAGAUUAAUACUUUAAAAUAUAAUGAAAUUUCUUGGGUUGGAGGUUUCUUUUUUAAUACAUAUAAAGAGAAGCCAUUAAUUGUUGUGAAGAGCUUAUGAAACUAGGGCGUAUUGAAUCUAGCUCAGAUAUAAGAUUUAAAUGUCUUAAUGGGAUUGUUUUUAGUGUGUAUUUUAAUUACGGAUGUUUAUAUUUUAACAUUUGUGUGACUGGUUUUAUAUUCUAAAUCACUUAGAAGCCUAUACUGGCAUUAACGGUUAUAUAAAUUAGCACAACAGCAAACAUAGUCAACAGGGUGCCCAGCAAAUACCGUAUUUUUUGCUCUAUAAGACUUACUUUUUCCCUCCUAAAAAGUAAGGGGAAAUGUGUGUGCGUCUUAUGGAGCGAAUGCAGGCUGUGCAGCUAUCCCAGAAGCCAGAGCAGCAAGAGGGAUGUGCAGCGAUCCCUCUUGCUGUUCUGGCUUCUGAGAUUCAGAAUAUUUAUUUUCUUGUUUUCCUCCUCCAAAAAUUAGGUGUGUCUUGUGGUCUGGUGCGUCUUAUAGAGUGAAAAAUACGGUAUUUUGGAUGCUAACUGUUAUUACCCCAGACCAUUGGUCAUGCUGGCUGGGACAGAUGGGAGUUGGAAUCCAACAAUAUUUGGUGGGCACCUUGUUGGCUAUCCCUGUCAUACAUGCUACCCGGAGAUCUUUGGAGAAUGAGUAGAAUUCAAACAUGAUAUCCACCGUGGUAGAUCAAUUGCACAACCCAUUUCUAUUGCUCCUGCAUCAAGGCCCACAUCAAGAUCUUUAUCUAUUGCUGUUUACAAAAGCUUGGAACAGAAUCUCUGUUGAUGGUAUGCAAAUUCGUGACUAGGGCUAGCCUAGGGCUCUUUGACACCUGAGGCAAAACACAAAAUGGCAUCCCUCUUGCUAGGGAAGAAGGUGAUUGACCAUCUACAUCAGGAUAACAUCUGUCUUUCCUAUUUGUCAAGAGGCCACCAUAGAGGUAGCAAGGGGGGCUACCAUGUGAACUCUAUGAUCCCUAUGAAUCCUGAUGCCUCAGGCAGUCUCCUCACCUUGUCUCAUGGGUAGGGCAUGUUUAUGACAGCAUUCUGGCUGAGGCCAGUGAUGGGAAUCCAACCAGUGCUUUUCCCUUGGGGUAUUCAAGGGUAUGCAGUACUGGUACCUUUUUCCUAGAAGAAAAACACUGAAUCCAACAAUCUUUGAAGGGCCACAAAUCGCUCAUCCCUGCUUUUAGAACAAUAACACCAAACACUGGCUAUCCCCCCCCCCCUCCAUUUUGUCAAUAUUUUUCUACUUCAGUAAUCUGUGUUGGGUAUGAAAUAUCAUUUUGCAGUAUAAUAUAAUAUUUUCUUAAAACAUGAGACAAUCUUUUGUUAAAGAUGCAAAGUUAUUCUUGUGCUUACUAUAACUUUUGGGUUCUUCUUGACUCUCACCCCCCCCCCCAUAUUUGACUUCAACUAGAUUAGAUUGAGUUGUAUUUUAUGACUCUUUUGCCUGUUGCAACCUAAGUAAAUUGAUGCUAUGAUUUAUAUUUUAUGUAUAUUUGACAGCAAAAGCAAACCAAUAAGUUGUAUCCAAUUGGCCUAAGCAGCAGCUCAUUUCAGAUAGUUGAAAUCUUGUGGUUUUAGAAUAGUAAAUGAAGAGGGGGGGGAGUGGGUGAUCUGAGCACAGUCAUUUAUUUAAAACAGAUAUUCUAAAGUUUUCUACCCAUUCGAAAAGUCCACACAAUAAAACAGGUGUUGUUUGAGGGGGAAACGGUGUUUGCUUCUUUUGCAUAAUGCAUUAGAUGACUCCCAGAGAAGUUCUUCAAGUAAUCUGAAGCCACAGUCUUGGAGACAAAAUGGACUUUUUGGAGAUUUGGCAUAGGGGAGCUCUUGGCUGAAGACAGAAAAUGAAUCACAUUAGGGCAGAACCAUAGCAAUGAGAGAAUAUCAUUUUUUUUCCAGAACUGGCUUAAUUACUCCAGAAAGGUAAACAAGAACUCUGAUGGAUGAAGCCUAACGGGCAUGUGUGCAAACACUUGUAUGCAGGCGAGGGGCUAUGCUCAGUGGAAGAGCAUCUGUCUUGCAUGCGGAAGGUCCCAGGUUCAAUUAUUGACAUCUCUAGGUAGUGUUGGAAGUGUUUCCUGUCUGAACUCCUGGAGAGUGGCUGUAGACAAUACUGAGCAAGAUGUAUGAGAUGUCUAGCUUAGGGUAAGGCAGCUUCCUAUGUGCAGAAAUAUUGGGUUUUUCACAGGUGCUUCCAAUCUGUACCAGUUGUGCUUGUGUUCACUCUGGGUGGCUUCCAACAAAAUAUUAAAAAUACAAUAAAUGAAUAGGUUGCAACGAAUACAAUGGUACCUCGGGUUAAGUACUUAAUUCGUUCCAGAGGUCUGUUCUUAACCUGAAACUGUUCUUAACCUGAAGCACCACUUUAGCUAAUGGGGCCUCCUGCUGCCGCCGCGCUGCCGGAGCCCGAUUUCUGUUCUUAUCCUGAAGCAAAGUUCUUAACCUGAAGCACUAUUUCUGGGUUAGCGGAGUGUGUAACCUGAAGUGUAUGUAACCUGAGGUACCACUGUACUGUACUUUCAACAGCAGAGAGGAACAAGUUGGGCUGGAGACACCAACAUCCCACUGGUUGUCCAGUCUCCUUCUCAGUGCUUCUCCUUCAGUCGGUGGUGUGAGAAUCUUAGUGCUCACCAGUAAAAGAGCCUGACCAAUGGAAGGACACAAGGUGGGAGAUAUGCUGAGCUGCUUGGUGUGUUUGUUACAGAUCUACUACACCCGCAAGCAUAAAAGGUAAAGGUAAAGUACCCCUGGACUCUAGGCAGCACAGCCAGUGGGAUGAAGCACCACUGCUGUUGGAGUUUGGAUCAGAUCUUUAGGCUACAAAUUAUUCAUGUUUGGAUAAGGGAAGUUUCAUAUAACCAACAUUCGGAUUGCAGGACCUGGAUGUAUAGAAUGCCACUAGAUCAGUGGGUCUCAAACUACUUUUAUUCUUUCAGAAUAAAAAUUUGCUUGCCAAAUCUUUUAUUGAUAAGAAAUACAUUGCAUUUAAAAACAAAAAGAAGCAAUUCCCAGCAGUGCUUGAUUAAUAACAUGGGACACAACCACUUUAUAAUACAAUCGUGGGACAUCCAGGAAGUAUAAAACAAUGCAACUACAUAAGAACAUGAGUCAUUCCCAAAAUAAAAUAUUAAUUGUCCUUGACUCUUCCUGUCACCCCAUCCUAUUCUGCCAUGCCCGUGUGGUGCACCACGCCCUUUGAGAACCACUGCUCUAGGUAAUUAGUCCCACUGCCAAACUACUCUUACUAUCCAGAAGGUUAUUCUAACAUUUAAAUAUAAUCUCCCUUGUAAUUUAACUGCAUUAGAUAUAAUUUUGUCCUCAUGCGGAACAGACAAGAAGCAUUUGCCCUUUUCUAUGCAACAGCUCUUUAGGUGUCGGUGACUGGACAGAGGAGGAAUGGUAGAGACUGCUACCCCCUCAUGAACCUUCCAGAGAUGAGGAAGACCGUAUAGAUUUACAGCAGUAGUUUAAGGACGGUCACAGCUCAGAGGUAGAUAAAGAUCAGAGUUGGGAAAUAAUGGGGGAAGAAGGGGGGAAGCAGUGUCAGAGUAGAUGGCUGACACAUUUAUUACUAGAAAGCAUUCCAGAAUCACCAUCUCCCAUCACCUGGCGAACCUUAAAAGUAGGAGAGCAGAGGGCUCAUACGCAAAUGGCCCUAAGCAGCCACCGUAAGGUGAGUGGUGCUAUUGACGACUGAAGAGAGGGGGGUGGAGUUUACUUGGAGCAACGCCAUUACUCCAAGAUGAAGCAUUUCUUAGCCUCUCUCUGAAUAUUGAAUAAAAUAACUUGGUAAGAGCUUUCCUUGCUUAUCUCUUCCUGGGAACCCACCGUGGGGGGGGGGGGGUCUAAGAGAGUCUAAGUCUAAAAGAGAGGCCAGGGUGAUGUCCACCGUUUCCAGGAACUGUUCUCAUUGUUAUACUUUUGUGAGUGAGCUGAGAGUUUGUUUGGACCCUGG